CUCAAAUGAAUUGACGGGGCCCGCACAAGCGGUGGAGCAUGUGGUUUAAUUCGAUGAUACGCGAGGAACCUUACCAGGGCUUAAAUGUAGAUUGCAUGAGGUGGAAACACUUCUUCCCUUCGGGGCUAUUUACAAGGUGCUGCAUGGUUGUCGUCAGCUCGUGCCGUGAGGUGUCGGGUUAAGUCCCAUAACGAGCGCAACCCUUACCGUUAGUUGCCAUCGGGUCAAGCCGGGGACUCUAGCGGGACUGCCACCGUAAGGUGAGAGGAAGGUGGGGGAUGACGUCAAAUCAGCACGGCCCUUAUGUCCAGGGCUACACACGUGUUACAAUGGCCGGUACAGAGGGCAGCUACCUGGUGACAGGAUGCUAAUCCCGAAAGCCGGUCCCAGUUCGGAUUGGAGUCUGCAACCCGACUCCAUGAAGUUGGAUUCGCUAGUAAUCGCGCAUCAGCCAUGGCGCGGUGAAUACGUUCCCGGGCCUU
rnacentral:rRNA from 1 species